UACAUGUGGGGCAAGCGUUGUUCGGAAUUACUGGGCAUAAAGGGUGCGUAGGUGGCUUGUUAAGUCAGAGGUGAAAGUUUUCGGCCCAACCGGAAAAUGGCCUUUGAUACUGGCGAGCUCGAGUGCGUGAGGGGUAACCGGAACGAGCAGUGUAGCGGUGAAAUGCGUAGAUAUUGCUCGGAAGGCCAACGGCGAAGGCAGGUUACUGGUACGCAACUGACGCUGAGGCACGAAAGCGUGGGGAGCAAACAGG
rnacentral:rRNA from 1 species